GCUGGAAUCGCUAGUAAUCGCGAAUCAGAAUGUCGCGGUGAAUAGUUCCCGGGUCUUGUACACACCGCCCGUCACACCAUGGGAGUCAGUAACGCCCGAAGCCGGUGACCCAACCAAUUCAGGAGGGAGCCGUCGAAGGUGGGACCGAUAACUGGGGUGAAGUCGUAACAAGGUAUC
rnacentral:rRNA from 1 species